ACGGGAGGCAGCAGUGGGGGAUAUUGCACAAUGGGGGAAACCCUGAUGCAGCGACGCCGCGUGAGUGAAGAAGUAUUUCGGUAUGUAAAGCUCUAUCAGCAGGAAAGAUAAUGACGGUACCUGACUAAGAAGCACCGGCUAAAUACGUGCCAGCAGCCGCGGUAAUACGUAUGGUGCAAGCGUUAUCCGGAUUUACUGGGUGUAAAGGGAGCGCAGGCGGGACUGCAAGUUGGAUGUGAAAUACCGGAGCUCAACUCCGGGGCUGCAUCCAAAACUGUAGUUCUUGAGUGGAGUAGAGGUAAGCGGAAUUCCGAGUGUAGCGGUGAAAUGCGUAGAUAUUCGGAGGAACACCAGUGGCGAAGGCGGCUUACUGGGCUCUAACUGACGCUGAGGCUCGAAAGCGUGGGGAGCAAACAGGAUUAGAUACCCUGGUA
rnacentral:rRNA from 1 species